rnacentral:rRNA from 1 species
CCUUUGGCAGCAUCUACUAAUUCAGAACUUAAUUUGAAAGCCAUAUUUCGACCCGGACGCUUUUGGGAUGCUUCUAAUAACCAAUGAAUGGCAAGUGCUCUUCCUUGUUUAGAUCCUAUUUCAAUCGGAACUUUCCGCGUCGAUCCUUUUUUAUUACGUCUUGUUUUACUCCUAUAUUGGGAGUUACUCUACGUAUUGCUUGACGUAAAACCAAUAGUGGAUUUGGCCAGAUGA